rnacentral:tRNA from 1 species
ACCUGGCUGGCUCAGUUGGAAGGGCAUAUGACUCUUGAUCUCAGGGUCAUGAGUUCGAGCCCUAUGUUAGGUG